rnacentral:lncRNA from 1 species
CUUGAAAGAGAUUUUAGUUUUUGUGAAAUCAUGAAAAAUCCUGCUUAUAUCAUAUGAAAUUCUAUUAAAUGCGAGUUUAAAUUGUGUAAAUUAAUAGACGGAGUUGCAUUUUUUGCAGAAAUAGAAACAUCGCAAUAAAUUCUGCAUUUACAGUAAGCUUUUUUUUUUUAAUUUAUGUUUUCAUGUGUUCCAUUCAUCCUUCUGUGUGUUCUCAUUGUAAUAGAGCCUUCUGUAUGUUCUCAUUGUAAUACAGCCUUCUGUGUGUUCUCAUUGUUAUUUAUUUGUGUAGGUUGUAAAAAAAGUUGUAAAUAUUGAUAUCAGUUGUAAUAUAUUAUAUACUUACGUAUGCAUACACUUAUUUAAAACAUGUGUGUUGUAUUGUUUACUGUUUUCCGGUAUCAGGAAAUUAGAAAAUCAGGAAUUUUUACGGCUAUCUUUGAGUGUCAUAAUUGCAAUAGAGCAAAAGAGAUUUUUUUGUUUUCUAUUUUAAAUUCAUGUUGUGAAAUUUUAAUAUUUACAUUUUAACACAAGCAUUUUAAAAAUUGUUAGCUGUAUAAAGCAAUGCUUCCCAGUUGUGACUAUAAAAAAUGCAAUGUGAAAUACUAAGCUUGCAGCAGUUUUAUUAUAACCCUGAAAUGUUUGAAACUAAAAACUAAGUUUUCCACUUGCAAAAAAAUUAAUGGGAAAUAUGAAUUAAUUUUGCUGUUAAGCAAUUAAAAUCAUGUUGAAACUUUUAUGAAGGUCACCUUGUUAUUUGUUUUGUUCAUUUUAUGUGAUGUUAAAGUUUAAAAGUUUUGUUAAAUUAAUAAUUUUAUUGUUUUUAAUUCAAUUUAGAUUGUUGAGUUUUACAGACACAAAAUAUGUACAUUCUCAUAAAUCAUUAAACAAAAUGUUAUCACACGAAGAACCAUAAUCAGAAAAAUCAUGUUAACCUUAAUCAUGAUCAGUUGUGUUAAUGUUAAUUGUUAAUGUUGUUAACAGGUUGUGAUUUUUCAAAGAUCAAAUGAAAUUCAGAAAACGUGUACUUUGUCUCAUUAAUACUCAUAUGUUAAAUUUUAUAAAAAGUUUAUUUGUAUUUUUAUAACACAUAAAUAAUUAUAAUAUGCACAUAGAGGUUGUUACAUGAUAGCAUAUGUAUUAAAAAUAUAGGUGCUUGUUUUAUGUAUAUAGCUUUAGGUGUUGUGCUUAUAUCAUAUUUUAUGUCCAAUUUAAUUACUGAGUCAGCAGUUUGUUGUAUCUGUUGUACAGUCACAUUGCAAUUGUUGAAAUAUUGACUUUCAAUUUUCUGGAAUAUGAAAUUCGCAGAAGAAUAUAUAACCAGUUUUGUUAAGGCUGUUAAGAAAAUAUUCCUAGAUUCUGUGAAGCACAUUUAUAAUAAAAAUAUUCUUAGAUACUUUGAAGCACAUUUAUAAUGAAAAUAUUCUUAAAUAAAGGGAUAAUAAGAAGCGAAAAAAAAUUACCCACCGAUGCAUGAGGUCAUGAAAUUUAUGGAGGUAUUAACAAGUGCAACAGAAGGUUAACACUCAACUUAUCAUCGAUCAAACUCUGUAAAUUUGACUUAUUAUAAUCGAAAAAAUAUUAUUAUAAUCGAAAAAAUAUAUUCAAUAUUAAUAUUACUCUUUGUAUUUGAAAUUUGCUCUGAUUUUAAAAAUUGAGCUUGCUUAUUGAUUGUAAAUUGUUCCAGAUUAUAAUUAAAAAAUGCUGGCCAUUGAAAAAUAAAAAUUGCAAAAUAUAACAGGGUUUUGAGGACAUUUGAAUUUUGAUAUAUUUUUUUCUGAUUCAAGGAAAAUAUAUUUUACAAGUUUGCUUCCAUAGACCUUGUAUUUUUUUUUUAAUUUACCCAUUUUUUCUCUUUAUUUGAUCACAUUCAGAAUUUAAAAAAAACAUCUUUCAUUGAUUUCAGUCGUUGACCAUGAGCAGGCUCUGGGUCACAUAUAUAUCACAUCAUUUAAGUGACAUUUUUUGUAGCCUAUUCAGUUCUGUAUAUAAAUUUUUCACAUUUCAGGCAUGUUAAAAUAUGCUUUAAUGCAAAGGGGAUCUGUUUGAUAUGAUUAAUGUCUUAUUGGGCAGCCAUUUAAAAAAUAUGCAUUUUAUGCAUAAACAAAGAUAAACGAGUUGGUCAUCCUUACCUGUAUUGUCCAAUCCGUUUGAUUGAUUUUAGUGUAUAGGAACUUUUUGCACACUAGACUAUUUCAUGGUUGAUCAAUUUAUCAUAUUGGCAAAGAACCUUUUGAUAUACUUCUAAAGUGUUUUUGUGUCAUUAUAUGCUUAAAAUAUGUUGUUUCAUCUGUCAUAACCAUCAAACUAUAAUGUCUCAAUCAUAUUACAGAAAUGGUUAGGACUGAAAAAUGAUCAGAGCCCUUAAAAUUGGGAUUUAUUUUAUAUAUAUGAUAAAGUAACUGUAAAUUUUAUCAAUUGUGAUACCAAUUUGUUGCAUUAGGUUGAAAGAAAUAUGUUAGUGAAUAAAUAUAUUCAUAUUAUUUUAUUGUCAAUUAACAUAUGCAUUUUGCUGUAAAACCUUCACAGUUAAUGGCUAUGCAUGUCCUAACCCAACUAUUUAAUAAGAUAAAGCCAAUUGUUUAAGGAAAGCUUUGAGAUAACUAUUUGUAUUUUAUUCAAAAAGAGACAACUUGGGAAUGGGAUAAGACAUGUUUUGUUUCUGUAGGUACUUAAAAAUAUUUGUAUCCAAUGUUUUCAUACCACUUUACAGUGUAGUAUUGACUGAAAAGAAAAAAAUUAUCAUAUAGAUCACAUACUUAACUGUUACAGCGGUAUAUACUGCAGCUGUCCUAUUUGAGCAGUCAAAUUGCAUUGACUGUAUAUUCAUAUGUGAUAUACAGUCACUGACCGUAUAUCACCUUGUUUAUGACGUUGACAAUGCGCUUCCGUAGAGUUUUAUUUAUGACGUCAAUAAAACAUACAGGUUCGCGGAAAUUUUAUCGCGCAAAAUAUCAAUCGGUUAUUUGUACUCGGCUUGAAACAGGUAGAAAUGCUCGGCACAGCCUCGCUUUCUACCUGUUUCUAAGCCUUGUACAAAUAACAUUGAUAUUUCGAGACAAUGUAUGGUUAUUCUAUAUAUAUACUACUGUUGCCUUUAUUUGUCAUCUUUUGAUCUUAAAAACAUUUAAAUAGUGGCCAUAUAUAUGUAUAUAUUAUUCUAGAAUUGUUAAUAUUAAGUGACUGAUGUGAACUGGAGUGGGCAUUUAAAUAUGAAAUCUCCAAAUGAAUUUUAGUGAUUAAAUCAUGUUUUACAAUUUAAAA